UUGGGCAUCAUUUGGAUUUUAACGAUUCUGAUUCCAAAUCCAUUUUUUCCUUUCGAUUUCAGUUCUUAUUGAUUCCGAUUCUCUGUGGGGUGGAGUUGAAACAGAUCACGUGCCUAUUUCACAAAUAAGAGGAAGGUUUUAUCUUGAUUUAAUGGUGGUUUGCAGUUUUACAGGGCUUUUUCUUCGUAAAAUAAACCAGACUA